rnacentral:ncRNA from 1 species
UUAUUAUAUGAAAGGUAAGAAGGAUAACUCUCUCUUAACAAGGAUGGUGGAUCUAGCAGCCUUUACAUCAUACAUAUGGUUAAGAUACUGCUGCCUGCUCUUGGUCAUUCAACAUGAUUUUAUU